GACCUAGUGGUGAAAUGAAUCAUACCUGCACCCUAUAUGCUGAGAUGCAGAAAUAGUUAGCAGGAGUCCCCGGUUCGAAUCCCGGCUGGAUCA